AUUGAACGCUGGCGGCAGGCCUAACACAUGCAAGUCGAACGAGUGGCGGACGUGUGCGUAAUGUCUGGGAAACUGCCUGCUGGAGAGGGAUCACUACUGGAAACUGUAGAUAAUCCCGCCUACCAUCAGAUGUGCCCAUAUGGGCUUUGCUUGGUGGUGGGGUAACGGCGCACCAAGGCGACGCGCCCUAGCUGGUCUGAGAGGAGGACCAGCCACACUGGAACUGAGACACGGUCCAGACUCCUACGGUAGGCAGCAGUGGGGAAUAUUGCACAAUGGGCGCAAGCCUGAUGCAGCCAUGCCGCGUGUAUGAAGAAGGCCUUCGGGUUGUAAAGUACUUUCAGCGGGGAGGCGUUACCCGCAGAAGAAGCACCGGCUAACUCCGUGCCAGCAGCCGCGGUAAUUC
rnacentral:rRNA from 1 species